rnacentral:rRNA from 1 species
GACGAACGCUGGCGGCGUGCUUAACACAUGCAAGUCGAACGGAAAGGCCCUGCUUUUGUGGGGUGCUCGAGUGGCGAACGGGUGGGUAACACGUGAGUAACCUGCCCUUGACUUUGGGAUAACUUCAGGAAACUGGGGCUAAUACCGGAUAGGAGCUCCUGCUGCAUGGUGGGGGUUGGAAAGUUUCGGCGGUUGGGGAUGGACUCGCGGCUUAUCAGCUUGUUGGUGGGGUAGUGGCUUACCAAGGCUUUGACGGGUAGCCGGCCUGGGAGGGUGACCGGGCACAAGGGGACUGAGAGACGGACCAGACGCCAACGUGAGGCAGCAGUGGGGAGUAUGGCAGAAUGGGGGGAAGCCUGAUGCGGCAACGCCGGGUGCGGGAUGACGGCCUUCGGGUUGUAAACCGCUGUCGCCUGUGACGAAGAGGGAGUGACGGUAAUGGGUAAAGAAGCACCGGCUAACUACGUG